UAAUUCUUCGAAUGAAUGCGACAACAGAAAUCUCACGUUUAUUUGUACAUCUAGUUUCAAGCAAAAACAUUUAUAUAUUGGACAUUGGAUUUAAUACUAGAAAACCCUUGUGUUUUUUAUAAUUGAAGAUCAAGUCAUAUUGGAUUGUAAAGAGAUCAAAAUGUCAAUUUUUCUAAAAAUAACCGAUCAUCGAUUGUUGAUCGACCGCUAUUUCAAGCGCUUGGAGACUGGAGUUGAAUGAGUUUUGAUUCAAAAUCGACGAGAAAGUGUAAAAGCCUCCAUAUCUUCUUGGUUCCAGAAGGUUAGAUGCUGGCGUACAAUAUCUUUAAAUAUUUAUAUAAACUUUAGCAAUUAUAUGGUCUAAUAUUAGCAGAAAGAGAAGUUGAUGAUCAGAUCAAUGUCUGGUUAGAUUCUAACAAAACAAGAAAAUGAACCAUAAUCUAUUUUUAUAUGAAAACUUAAAGUUAUGUCAGUUGCAAUUAGAAGCGUUUUAAGCAAGUACUAUCUUGAUGGACGAGGAGGUGAAACUAACCCAUUGAUGACAAAUAGUGAUUCACGCACAGUGAGCUCAGAGAUAGAAAUAAACAAAAAAUAUUUGUUUGAGAAAGUCUAUUCAAAUUGUUUUUUCAAAAAAUUAGAUAAAUUUGUAAAUAAAUAAAAAAUUGUGUUUCUAGCUCAUUUUUAAUUGAUAAUAUGUAAUUUUGAAGUUGAUUCCAAGGUUUUUGUGUAUUUAUAAAAGAAAAUUCGGUUGGUUUUUAUUCAUAUUUAUUAUUAUUAUUAAAUGAAUUUACCAACAUGAAAAUUGCUAAACCACUUAUUUA